GACGAACGCUGGCGGCGCGCUUAACACAUGCAAGUCGAACGGUGAACGGGGCUUCGGCCCCGGGAUCAGUGGCGAACGGGUGCGUAACACGUGGGCAACCUGCCCCAGACCCUGGGAUAACCCCGGGAAACCGGAGCUAAUACCGGAUACUCCGACCGAACCGCAUGGCUCGGCCGGGAAAGGUCCGCCGGUCUGGGAUGGGCCCGCGGCCUAUCAGCUUGUUGGUGGGGUCACGGCCCACCAAGGCGACGACGGGUAGCUGGUCUGAGAGGACGACCAGCCACACUGGGACUGAGAUACGGCCCAGACUCCUACGGGAGGCAGCAGUGGGGAAUCUUGCACAAUGGGCGAAAGCCUGAUGCAGCGACGCCGCGUGAGGGAUGAAGGCCCUCGGGUUGUAAACCUCUUUCGGCAGGGACGAAGCGAUCGUGACGGUACCUGCAGAAGAAGCCUCGGCUAACUACGUGCCAGCAGCCGCGGUAAAAC
rnacentral:rRNA from 1 species